UGUGCAAUGAUAUAACUUUAUGUAUAAUCUUUUUGUUUUUCCUCAGUCUCACCUAGGAUCGUAAACAGCUCCCAUUGCACAGUUACAGGAGAGCAGCUGAUUUGUGUGUGCAUCAGUUGGGGAAAUCCUCUACCACCAAUCUUUUGGCCUUUGGAAACCCUCACAGAUUACUCAGUCACUAGUUUUAGCAUUGCUCAGAGAGUAAGAAGCACCUUCACCAUGCCUGCAGCUAAAUAUCACAAUAACACGGUCAAAUGCAUGAGCAGCAAUGAACUUGGUCAGGCCGAAACUGAUAUUCUGAUUGAAAACUCUGCAGAGGAUGUCAAGCCAGACGAUUCUCAAGGAUCAAGCAAAGGGUUUGACUCGGCUCUUCCCUGGAUAACCGGAGUGUGUUUCACUCUAAAUCUGGUCUUUGUUGCCGUCAUCGUCUGUAUUCAUCAAAGAAGUAAAAAUAAGCUCAAGGAACCAUUUGAAGAAGUAAAGACAUAUGCAUCUUUGAGAAAGGUUGAUGUGGAGGAAGAGUACAGCGUUAUUUCCCCACAGUGUAAAUAGGGCAACUUUAGCUUUGCAACAAAGAGGAAGUAACAUUUAUCAUGAUGUCAUGUAUUUAAAAAUAGCUAUUUAAAUUGUGCUUGUUAGUAAUGUACAGGGUGACAAGCCUUUUUAAGUCAAACACGUAUAUAUCAGCCUAGUGAUGUACAAAUUAUCUACCCUUAGAGAUAAGGCGAGUCAGCUGGGAACUCCUAAUAUAGCUGCUCCUUCUCCACAUGUUAAAGAGGAAGCUGAGCUGUUUCAGCUAUCUGAUCAGGACGUUUGAAUCACUUGGUACUGUUCUUCCAGCAACCCUACUGAAGACAAACAAAUGGACAGACAGAAAGAUGCAAACAUGCAUAUCUAAAUUGCCGCAGUUAGGUUCAGUGGUUGCUAGUGAUAAAUUGUUUUUUGGGAGGCGCACUACAGUAGGGGUCGGCAAUUGCCACACAAUAAACCCUACCUGAACCCUGCAUGGUCCCUGUCCUGCUGUUGGAUCGCUACGUUUGGUCAAUCUGUUUUUUUAUUAUUCCUCCAGCAAAGC